UGAGGGACCAUAGGGUAUCA
rnacentral:rRNA from 1 species